CGGCGGGGCUGGCGGCGGCGGCGGUGGCGGCGGCGCUGGUGCUUCCCGAGGUGGCGGAGGCGGCGAGCCCGGGGCUGUCGCCGUCGCUCAAGAACUUCCUGCUCAGCAUCGUCUCUGGCGGGGUCGUCUUCGCGGGCAUCCUUGGCGCCGUCGUCGCCGUCUCCAACUUCGACCCCGUCAAGCGGACCUGAUCGUGCUAAAUUCCGGUCCGACGCCCCGGGGCUCGCUCGAUUUGUAAUCUCUCUUUGCUCUGCGUUCUCAUUCCGAGACGUCGACCGUGUAUGUAGAAGAGAUAUAUCCAUUGUUAUGGUAUAUUAAUGGAGUUCUGGUUAAUGGUUGUGUGUA
rnacentral:lncRNA from 1 species